UACGAGGGGGGCGAGCGUUGUUCGGAAUUAUUGGGCGUAAAGGGCGCGUAGGCGGUCGGAUAAGUCUUGUGUGAAAUCUUCGGGCUCAACUCGAAGUCUGCACAGGAAACUAUCUGGCUUGAGUGUGGGAGAGGUGAGUGGAAUUCCUGGUGUAGCGGUGAAAUGCGUAGAUAUCAGGAGGAACACCUGUGGCGAAGGCGGCUCACUGGCUCGUAACUGACGCUCGUGCACGACAGCGUGGGGAUCAAACAGG
rnacentral:rRNA from 1 species